AUUGAACGCUGGCGGCAUGCCUUACACAUGCAAGUCGAACGGCAGCACGGGAGCAAUCCUGGUGGCGAGUGGCGAACGGGUGAGUAAUAUAUCGGAACGUGCCCAGUCGUGGGGGAUAACGUAGCGAAAGCUACGCUAAUACCGCAUACGAUCUAUGGAUGAAAGCGGGGGAUCGCAAGACCUCGCGCGAUUGGAGCGGCCGAUAUCAGAUUAGGUAGUUGGUGAGGUAAAGGCUCACCAAGCCGACGAUCUGUAGCUGGUCUGAGAGGACGACCAGCCACACUGGGACUGAGACACGGCCCAGACUCCGACGGGAGGCAGCAGUGGGGAAUUUUGGNCNNUGGGCGCAAGCCUGAUCCAGCAAUGCCGCGUGCAGGAUGAAGGCCUUCGGGUUGUAAACUGCUUUUGUACGGAACGAAACGGCGAGCUCUAAUACANUUUGCUAAUGACGGUACCGUAAGAAUAAGCACCGGCUAACUACGUGCCAGCCGCCGCAGUAA
rnacentral:rRNA from 1 species